rnacentral:rRNA from 1 species
GUAGGGAAUUUUCGGCAAUGGGGGAAACCCUGACCGAGCAACGCCGCGUGAGUGAAGAAGGCCUUCGGGUUGUAAAGCUCUGUUGUAAGGGAAGAACGAUAGUUAGAGGGAAUGCUAGCUAUAUGACGGUACCUUACCAGAAAGCCACGGCUAACUACGUGCCAGCAGCCGCGGUAAUACGUAGGUGGCAAGCGUUAUCCGGAAUUAUUGGGCGUAAAGGGAGCGCAGGCGGUUUAUUAAGUUUAUGGUGAAAGUUCGGGGCUCAACCCCGUGAUGCCAUAGAAACUGGUAGACUUGAGUACAGGAGAGGUUAGUGGAAUUCCAUGUGUAGCGGUAAAAUGCGUAGAUAUAUGGAGGAACACCAGUGGCGAAGGCGGCUAACUGGCCUGUAACUGACGCUGAGGCUCGAAAGCGUGGGGAGCAAAUAGGAUUAGAAACCCUAGUAGUCC